rnacentral:lncRNA from 1 species
UAGCUUUUUUAAAUGGGAAAACUACGAAUACCACCCCUGUCAUUUCAUAUUUUUUUCACUUUAGUAUUCUAUGAUUUAAAAUGUAUCAAUUUAAUACUUUGUAGUUUCGCACUUUCUUACUUUAGUAUCCUGUGAUUUAAUGUGCAUCAAUUUAGUACUCUGUGAUUUCUGUUUUCUCUUUUCGUCGGCUCCUCUGUUAAUAUUUCGUUAAAUUAUAUACAAAAAACUUCAGUUACCCUAUCUAGGUUUAUCGAAUAUUUACUUUAGAACGCUUUAGUUUUAACUUUGUCACUAUUUUUUUUUCUUUCGUUAAUAUUUCGUUAAAUUAUAUACAAAAAGCUUCAGAUAUCCUAUCUAGGUUUAUCGAAUAUUCAUUUUAGUAGUCUUUAAUUUUUAACUUUGUCACUGAUUUAACGAAAAAAAAUUAGUGAAAUGGAUAAUAAAAAGAGAAAAAUAAAACCACAGUGUAAUAACUUGAUACACUUUAAACCACAGGAUAAUAGAGUGAGAAAGUACGAAAUCAUAGGGGCUAACUUGAUACAUUUUAAAUCAUAGAAUAUUAAAGUGAGAAAGUGUGUAACCACGGGGGUAUUUGAAGUUUGUCCUUUUUAAAUUAACUAAUUAAUUUUGAAUAACUAACUAAUUUAUUUAUUUUUUCCCUUCUCUU